AUACGUACCUUGUGUCGGGUUGACGCUGAUCAUGCAGGGCGCACCCAGAGAAGAGGCCUCGUGCUGACUCUCGCCACUGCCCUAAAUUAGGGUCAGUGGGGCACUUAAUUUUUGGUAGCGGGGGAUUGGAGACUCCGGCGAAACCGGGCUCCAUCCCCCA